rnacentral:rRNA from 1 species
UACGAGAGGCCCAAACGUUAUUCGGAAUUACUGGGCUUAAAGAGCGUGUAGGCGGCUUUACAGGUCCGUUGUGAAAACUCGAGGCUCAACCUCGAGACGCCGGUGGAAACCGUAAAGCUAGAGUCCGGAAGAGGAGAGUGGAAUUCCUGGUGUAGCGGUGAAAUGCGCAGAUAUCAGGAAGAACACCCGUGGCGAAGGCGGCUCUCUGGGACGGUACUGACGCUGAGACGCGAAAGCGUGGGGAGCGAACAGG